UACGUAGGGUGCGAGCGUUGUCCGGAAUUAUUGGGCGUAAAGAGCGCGCAGGUGGUUGAUUAAGUCUGAUGUGAAAGCCCACGGCUUAACCGUGGAGGGUCAUUGGAAACUGGUCGACUUGAGUGCAGAAGAGGGAAGUGGAAUUCCAUGUGUAGCGGUGAAAUGCGUAGAGAUAUGGAGGAACACCAGUGGCGAAGGCGGCUUCCUGGUCUGUAACUGACACUGAGGCGCGAAAGCGUGGGGAGCAAACAGGAUUAGAUACCCCU
rnacentral:rRNA from 1 species